rnacentral:rRNA from 1 species
UACGAAGGGGGCUAGCGUUGCUCGGAAUCACUGGGCGUAAAGGGUACGUAGGCGGAUCGCUAAGUCAGGGGUGAAAUCCUGGAGCUCAACUCCAGAACUGCCUUUGAUACUGGCGAUCUUGAGUUCGGGAGAGGUGAGUGGAAUUCCGAGUGUAGAGGUGAAAUUCGUAGAUAUUCGCAAGAACACCAGUGGCGAAGGCGACUUACUGGACAGAUAUUGACGCUGAGGUGCGAAAGCGUGGGGAGCAAACAGG